UCCCAUAUUCCCCUUGUCGUUGGUAUCUAGGGAAUUCAUAGGGUUCAUAUUAAUCCUUCUCUUCAGAGCUCUCGUUGUAGAUAGGAUGUCUACGUGCAACAAUUGGCCGUUCAAUAGGGUCACCAUGGGCUGCACCAUCCCUUGACCUUUUAUUGUCCACCCGAUCCCUAUUGCCAUUGAUUUCUAAAGCAUCAACGCAAUCCUCAAUUUCUUCUGAGACGUCUUUCUAUACGCCCAAAUCUAUGGUCCACUCGUUGCUUCAAAUGCUGCUCCAAAUGUUGCAAUACGUCAUCCCUUGGUUCAAGGGCUCUAGCUCUCCAAUCACCGUCAAAAUGGCUAUUGUCAUCAUCAUCGCCAGUUGCCAUCCUUGCUCUAAUACUACCUAAUGCGGCGAAGCUAGAUAAAUCACUCACUCACUCACUCACACACACACGUAGAAAAUUCUCUGCUAGAAAUUUAUUAAUUAAAAUAUGAAUCUAAAAUACAUUAGUUUUGGGAGUAUUUAUGGAGUUUUAGACUCUCAAUCCUAAU
rnacentral:misc_RNA from 1 species